GAUAAACGCUGGCGGCGUGCAUAACACAUUCAAGUCGAACGGACUGAUUCGAAAGCUUGCUUUUGAUGAAAGUUAGUGGCGGACGGGUGAGUAACGCGUGAGCAACCUGCCUAUCAGUGCGGGAUAACGUUUGGAAACGGACGCUAAUACCGCAUGAAGCACCGAAAUUGCAUGAUUAUGGUGCCAAAGAUUUAUGCUGAUAGAUGGGCUCGCGUCUGAUUAGCUAGUUGGAGGGGUAACGGCCCACCAAGGCGACGAUCAGUAGCCGGACUGAGAGGUUGAACGGCCGACAUUGGAACUGAGAUACGGUCCAGACUCCUACGGGAGGCAGCAGUGGGGAAUAUUGGGCAAUGGGGAAACCCUGACCCAGCGACGCCGCGUGAGGGAAGAAGGGUACUUC
rnacentral:rRNA from 1 species